rnacentral:rRNA from 1 species
UACGGAGGGUGCAAGCGUUAUCCGGAUUCACUGGGUUUAAAGGGUGCGUAGGAGGGUAGGUAAGUCAGUGGUGAAAUCUUCGAGCUUAACUCGGAACUGCCGUUGAUACUAUCUAUCUUGAAUACCGUGGAGGUGAGCGGAAUAUGUCAUGUAGCGGUGAAAUGCUUAGAUAUGACAUAGAACACCAAUUGCGAAGGCAGCUUGCUGGGACGGUACUGACGCUAAGGCGCGAAAGCGUGGGGGAGCAAACAGG